UGAUCAAAAGCUAUGCUGUCUAGCGUCAGAAAGAAGAAACGUUUGACAGUACCAUGAAAACAAUGUCCGAUCCAAUUUCGCUUGUUGAAUCGUUGAUACUCAAUUAAAACACUAACAAAUAAGGGCAAAUAACUUUGAUACUCACGUAAUAUUCAUCCCUGCAAAUUUGUAUCUCGUCUUCGCAGCAUUACACAUCACAACAGACGAAAUCCCCAAGGUUUCGAUGGCCAUUGAUGUUCGGCUGUUACUGGAGAUGCUGCCUAAUGAGGAGAUGGUGAAAGGUGUGUUUAAAGCUGUUGCUGCUGCUGUCCUUGGUGUCACAAUUCAGUGUGUUGUUCGUUAAUUUGUCUGGCAUGUCAAAUCUUUUCCAUCUUUGUAGUCACUUAAAUCUCAUCCAUGCAGUAUACAAUGGAGGCAAUGUGAUCUUACAUGAUCUAGGAGUGAUUCAAUCGACUACUGCUAGAUAAAAAAACUUUCUACGCCAAACAAAUAAUAACGCUGUGUUAUUAUCGCGGUUGGGAAAGCAUCAGGCCCCCUGCCAGCCAAUAAAAUUAUGGGUCUUUUAAUUUAAUUGGUUGGUGCAGUAU